CCCUCCUCUGAUCCUCUCCCUCUCGCCUCCUCUGCCCCUGCGCCAGCAGAACCCUAGCUAGUCCCACCGAAUCAAUCGUGGUGCCAUACGAAUCCCGUUGCUUCUUUAAUUCUUUGUUCAGCCCAUCUCUUAAUUGUUAAUUAUUUUCCAUAAUCCUAUGACUACGAGAUCAUCUCCGUGGACCGAUUUGACACCUACUGGAUUCUGGUCCCGCUGCCGGUCAUUUCGUUUUUAGAUGGCACCUGAAAUUAAUGAUCUGCGAAGCUCAUGGAGUCAUGGAAGGAAGGAAGGAAGGAAGAAAAGGGAACUCUUGAAACAUCUGAACAGCGCUUUGCCUUAGCGUGAGAAACAAUUCCAAAAUGAGUAUCAGCGGAGUACAAAGUGAAAUGACUAUAAUUAAAUUAGCUUGAAAAUGUACCUCUGGUGAAUCGAAUGGCAUGCCAAGUAAAAUGAAAGUGUCUGCUAAGCCUUGAACACCUAUUCCAACUGGCAUGUGCCUCAUAUUCACAUCAAGGCACAUUUUGAAUUCAACACCUUAAAGAUUUUGUGUUCUUGCAAAACAGACCAUGACAUUUUGAAUCAAACACCCUAAAGUUUUGGUUUUGUUACAAACAAGGCCAAAAAUUUGACAAAGUUGGAGAAAUUUUCAUUAGAAAUUUCGGCAGCAUAACACAUGACAAAGAAUCACAUGUGGGGCAAGACUGAAAGAGAUGCAUGCACAGGCAAGCAUUUUGUAUUUCACAUAGAAGGAGAACACUGUACUGUGUGCCAGUACAAUGAGUCUGCUAUCAGAUCCAGGUCCUUUCUACGGGCUUAGAAGGCCAAGUUGCUACAACAGCCAGCCUUACUACAUACACCAAGAAAGAAACGUCCAUUUUCCCGAGCCUAGUUGCUCUUGGCGACGCCCCUGCCUUGAGUCCAAAAACCUUUUCUCUUCCCGUGCCUUACAUAAUUUGGAGGAGGACCAUCUUCUCUUGCCUUUCACGGCUAGCAGCUCUUGGCCUCAGCAAAACAAAGAAAAGAACUGUCAACAGAUGUCAGUUAAUUGGCAAGCCAAACACAUCUACUAAAACCAAGCAAGAAACUACUACUCAGAUUCUUCUUCUUCCUCCUCUUAUUCCAUACACGCAAAAGCAAGCAAUGUCCAGUUCAGUCUGUGUGUGAUUACUAAGCUAAAAAAAGUGUAACGUACGCAUCCAGUAGCUAGCAUGCACACAACAAAAUGAUAUUUACUUUCAGUCAGUCAUUCAUCUAAUACCACCACCAUUCAGUAAGUAAUCCCACUCCUCCUAGCUUGCCUUGUUUCAGUGAUAGUCAUACAUAAAUAAGUCUAGGAAAAUUAUAAUAUGGUACCAAACAUGUCUAAGUGUCAAGAAUUUCUUCUUUCUUAGGAACUACAGGCAGAGGCCUCAAGUGCAACUCCUAACCCCCUAGGUACGUAGUUGACUCUGCUAGGAAUGUGAAAUAAAUAGAAAGACUUCUUUUUCACUUCCAAGGGCUAACAAACUGAUGUGACAUUGACAUUUGCAUCAAAGAUGAUGUUCAAUCUGUGUUGGAUAAGGAAGUUGAACUGAAGGUUGACAGCACAGAAAGUAGGCUGGCAACGGCAACAUAAAUCCCCUUGUUUGGUUUAUGCUGUUUCGGAGGAAAAGUUCCCAGAGCAACACAGGGGAGUACCGAGGAAAGAUUCUGAAACUCAUCUCCCCAGCAAUCAGCCAAACCUGGAGCUUCACUGGGACAAAAUAAUGACCAUUGCUCAUUUUUUUGCACCCUUUCCAUGAAUAAAUCAGGAAUCCAGAGAGCGUAGAAAAGAUCCCUGGCACGAUUCUCCUCCUGUAAAUUACACAUAAUGAGGGUGAGAUGGGGUAAGUAUAAGGUCAUAGCGUGACGGUCGUGAUCAAAUGCUGAAAAAUUAAAUCCAAACUGGUAAUAAGUUUCUAGUAUCUCUGUCUCAAAGUGUGUUACGCGUUACUUCAAGAACAUUUACCUUUCCAUGGUUCUUUCUCAAAUCAAGGAACUCAUAAAUA